rnacentral:rRNA from 1 species
GUGGGGAAUCUUGCGCAAUGGGCGAAAGCCUGACGCAGCCAUGCCGCGUGAAUGAUGAAGGUCUUAGGAUUGUAAAAUUCUUUCACCGGGGACGAUAAUGACGGUACCCGGAGAAGAAGCUCCGGCUAACUUCGUGCCAGCAGCCGCGGUAAUACGAAGGGGGCUAGCGUUGCUCGGAAUUACUGGGCGUAAAGGGCGCGUAGGCGGACAGCUUAGUCAGAGGUGAUAGCCCAGGGCUCAACCUUGGAAUUGCCUUUGAUACUGGCUGUCUUGAGUUUGGGAGAGGUGAGUGGAACUCCGAGUGUAGAGGUGAAAUUCGUAGAUAUUCGGAAGAACACCAGUGGCGAAGGCGACUCACUGGCCCAAUACUGACGCUGAGGCGCGAAAGCGUGGGGAGCAAACAGGAUUAGAUACCCCAGUAGUCC